UACGUAGGGUGCGAGCGUUGUCCGGAAUUAUUGGGCGUAAAGAGCUCGUAGGCGGUCUGUCGCGUCGAAUGUGAAAACCCGGGGCUCAACUCCGGGCUUGCAUUCGAUACGGGCAGGCUAGAGUUCGGUAGGGGAGUCUGGAAUUCCUGGUGUAGCGGUGAAAUGCGCAGAUAUCAGGAGGAACACCGGUGGCGAAGGCGGGACUCUGGGCCGUAACUGACGCUGAGGAGCGAAAGCGUGGGGAGCGAACAGG
rnacentral:rRNA from 1 species